rnacentral:lncRNA from 1 species
ACAUUUGUAGCCAAUAUCUGAGCCGAAGUCAACAGCUGCGAAUGCGGAUCAAGCUUACAUAUAAUCACAAGGGCUCAGCAAUGCAAGAUCUAGCAGAGGUGAACAACUUUCCCCCUCAGUCCUGGCAAUGAGGGUUUGGCACCAUUCUCAUUCUUUAUCCCACUCAAUCAAAGGAACUCUGGGAAGGAGGUUGUGAUUGCUGGCAAGUCCCCCCCAACUGUACCACGGGCAUGAGGAGCUGAAGAGAACUGCUGAGGAGGAUUUUCCUAAAGUUACUGCUGACCUUGAAGCAUUGUUAAAGACUAAUGUCCUCUCCUCCACUGUUGAGGCUGGCUGCUUCUGGAGGCUACUUUGCACUCUUCCUCUUCUCCUUUUUCCGCACUUCUCCACCCCUCCCACAUUUACAGCCAGAAUCAACAUUCCCUGGGCCCCUGAGGAAAUAAGCAGCUGGUCUGGAGGAGAGGACUGCAAUCCAUGGCGAAAAAACACUCACUUUGUCUCUGCAGCAAAGAGUUGCCCCUUCUUUCUACUGUUGUUUCUCUGUGGACUGGGCAAGGUGGGGUAUUUAUUCCUCACUAGCUGGGUUACCAUCUUCAGGCACUUUUAACAUCUGGCAUUCGGAAUGGAAAUGUAAUAAUGGACAUUAGGGAGCCCUGCCUUUUUCUACUGGUUCCCCCAAUGUUUGAAAGAGGCAUUAGGCUCCUGGUAGCCUUUUCUGUGCAUUGCUGUAUACACACAGACACACACAUGUAUGUUUGUUACCAAGAACUGGUCAGACCUUGCGAGUUUAUUUGUAAACACUGG